GGCGAACGGGUGAGUAAUGCAUCGGAACGUGCCCAGUCGUGGGGGAUAACUGCUCGAAAGAGCAGCUAAUACCGCAUACGACCUGAGGGUGAAAGCGGGGGACCGUAAGGCCUCGCGCGAUUGGAGCGGCCGAUGUCAGAUUAGCUAGUUGGUGGGGUAAAGGCCUACCAAGGCAACGAUCUGUAGUUGGUCUGAGAGGACGACCAGCCACACUGGGACUGAGACACGGCCCAGACUCCUACGGGAGGCAGCAGUGGGGAAUUUUGGACAAUGGGCGCAAGCCUGAUCCAGCAAUGCCGCGUGCAGGAAGAAGGCCUUCGGGUUGUAAACUGCUUUUGUACGGAACGAAACGGUCUGGGUUAAUACCCUGGGCUAAUGACGGUACC
rnacentral:rRNA from 1 species